UGGAGUUUUAUAGCCUGUAAUAGAAAAUGGCAAGGAAGAAAAGGUUGGAAGAGAUUUAGAAUUACUCAUUCACCAUUGGCUAGCAACACACUAAUGACUGGUGGAAGGAAUAUAAGGUUAGACCUGCUCAGACUAGAACCCUUCAUUGCAUGACAUUUGGUACAAGAGGAACAAACGCUAACACCUUACCAAAGAAGCUCCCUCAAGUGUGACAUGAAACUAUCAGCUGGGCUUUCAUAUAGCAGUCUGGAGAUGAAUGAAUUUCCAGCUAUGCCACCUCUGAGCUCCCACUGAAACCUUUGCUGGAGACAAAAAUGUGAAGAAAUCAUCUCAGAGAGGU
rnacentral:lncRNA from 1 species